GACGAACGCUGGCGGCGUGCUUAACACAUGCAAGUCGAGCGGUAAGGCCCUUUCGGGGGUACACGAGCGGCGAACGGGUGAGUAACACGUGGGUGACCUGCCUUUAGCUCUGGGAUAAGCCUGGGAAACUGGGUCUAAUACCGGAUAUGACUCCGCGGUGCAUGCUGUGGGGUGGAAAGCCUUGUGCGGCUGGAGAUGGGCCCGCGGCCUAUCAGCUUGUUGGUGGGGUGAUGGCCUACCAGGGCGACGACGGGUAGCCGGCCUGAGAGGGCGACCGGCCACACUGGGACUGAGACACGGCCCAGACUCCUACGGGAGGCAGCAGUGGGGAAUCUUGCGCAAUGGGCGAAAGCCUGACGCAGCGACGCCGCGUGAGGGAUGACGGCCU
rnacentral:rRNA from 1 species